CAGGCUGCAACUCGCCUGCAUGAAGUCGGAAUUGCUAGUAAUCGUAGGUCAGCAUACUACGGUGAAUACGUUCCCGGGCCUUGUACACACCGCCCGUCAAACCAUGAGAGUUGGCAACACCCGAAGUCGGUAGUCUAACCGCAAGGAGGACGCCGCCGAAGGUGGGGUCGAUGAUUAGGGUUAAGUCGUAACAAGGUAUC
rnacentral:rRNA from 1 species